CCCCUCUCAGCAGAGAUGAAGUACGAAUAGCAUUUUUUCUCCUUCUGAGCAGUAUGCUAUGACAGAAGUAUUGCAUUAAACACCGUGAUUUAAUCACGCUAUUCAAACACAGACAGUAGAAGAAUCUUUGAUUCACUGAUGCAUUGCUCCAACUGGAAAAAAUUUCCUCAGGUGCAUGUGAAGUAGGACAGACAUUUCAGGGCUCUUACCUGUGCAAGUUUUCGCUUUUCUGAGUUCCCUCUUUUCUCACUAGGCACCGUGUAGACCGGAGCACUCUGCACUGCAACAGCACCGCAAGUUUGAUAAUCUUCCUCAUUCUCCUAUGCAACAAAACAGAUUCGCAUUCCUUCAUUUAUAAUCAUUAUCUGCAAAUGUAUCCUCCAUAUUAUGCAUGCAGAAAGCAUUCGAAAUUAUCUUGCCACAAUCUAUUACUGUCAUGAAAAUACCAUCUGUAGUAAGAAAAUCAAAUUUAGCUAUUCACGAAGCCAAAUCAUCAACAUUGUCAUUUAAAAGAUGGAUUGUUCAAGUGUCUAGGAAAUAUUUUUGAAAGUUUUCUUAAAAUAGAAUAAAAUACAUUUUAAAAAUGGUUCCUUCUCUCUACAGAAAAAUCUCAAGUGGAAAUAAAAUCUUCAGUAGGAAAAGCAGCUGCAAAAUGCCCAAAACAUCUUUUCUGAUAUUUCUGCAAUGUUACUUUUGUAAAAUGAAACUGUUCAUUCAUUUUUAAACAUUGCAAUUGUUCACAUAUCCUAUAAAAUCCAGAGAACUAUACCUUCUGAAACACUUUGCACUGCAAGGCUCUUCCAUCUCAAAUUCUCAGCUUGAAGCAAAGGCUACAAUUGUGAUAUCAAAGCAAUCAACUUUAUGAAAACAUACAUCCCGUUAAUGCACCUUUGAAAACCUCUGUUGUUCAAUGAUAAAAUAUGCAAACAAUAAAGAGAUUAUUCAGUGGAUGCAUAGAAUGACAGAUAGUUGCCAGAGGGCUCGUUAUGAAAAAUGUAUUGUUGAACAAAGGGCUAAGCAUAUUUCAAAAGUCAUUAAAAACACAAAUCUCAUGCGAUUUGUAAAGUAUGAGCUUCAAGCAUACAGGAAGCAAGGUAAGAGAGUAAAAGUGUACUACGUACCUUAUGUUUCAACUUACUCCUCACUUCUUUUAUUCCUUGCCUUGCGUGGUUUUUUGCCUAGAAAAUUAAAAGGCCGUAUGUAACGCUGUAGUCAUGCAACACACUUUAUGAUGCCACGCUUACUGUACCUAUUUCCUUUUUUCACACAUGGAGCUAUAAAGAAGGACAAUUACCUGUAUCACAAAUGUCCUACGUGCCUCGUCAGGAUAUUUGAUACAUUCAUGCUUUGUCAGUAUAUAUAGGGCUCUUUCGGUACAUGCAUGCCAAUGCAGUGAAAACAUACGUGCUCAAAAACUCACCGGUAUUACUAAAGCCAGGCUGAAAAUGCUCUUUAACAUCACUCCUUUAUUUGAAACGGCCCUUUAAGUUUCAAAGGCUAUUUUAGCAGUAAGGCACAUUGGAAAAAUGUUAAGAUUUUUCAAGAUGACUGCUACAGUGUUCCAGUCUGGCAACUUGCAGGGCAACAUCAAUCUUAAGAGAAAUGAAGUGAUUUCAUAUGCAGAUGGAGAUUUUGCCCAGCGUUGCUGAACAAAAUAGUGCUGCUAUUUAGGGCAGAAUUGCUUAUGUAUUAAAAUAGGCAGCUAAGGAUCACCGUUGCAUAGAAAACAGAAUCAAGAAUGUUCUUCAAUAGAGAAAUGAAUUAUCAAUACAGAAUACCGUGUUCUUAUGCGGAAAAAAAAAAAGAGGAGGGAGGGAGGAAAAUGGAGAGGGAAAAAAAAAUGGGAAGAGAAGGAGAGGUGAGGGGCACAAAACAACAAAGAAAAACUAAGCCUAAUAUUAAGUGUGUUCUUCUUACUUGGAUAUAGCUCAUAUAGGAAUAAACUAGAAAAGUUUUCAAGGUUGUCUUGAAAAUAGAAUGCUUCAAAAUAUAGUCAGUGGCCAAAAUAUGCAGAAAUCUCCUAUUUUUCUAUGUUUUUCGGUGCACGGAAAUUUGGAAAAAAAAAAUCAUUUUCUUGUUUCAAGAGGUCGGAGAGUUGUUUUCAUCUUUAAAUCAUAUACCUACAAGCUCAGUGAGAGCACAGUGGGGUGCCAUGUAGCAGAUGCUAACCUGAGAGUCACUUUAAACUUUCCAGCUCACAUUCACAGCUUUUGGAUGCAUUUAGGAGCACUUUGUUCUAACUCUGAGGGAUGGCACCAAUCACAUUAUUUACUCAAGGACAGUUAUCUAGCAACCAAAGACGUGCAUAUGCCGUUUCUCUGGUGGCUCCACAAAGUGCAAGUGUGUGAGAAAACACACGACAAGACCGCAGGCACACAGACCCUCAAAAAUUUUACCAGCUCCUUGGAAUGAACAUGAGAUCGAUUUGAAAAAUCUUGAUUAUCAAGGACUAUUAAAAAAAUUGAAAGCUGGGAUAAGAUCAUGUAAUCACAGUCUAAGCUAAUGCAAACCAAAGAAUAAUAAUUUCCAGAUUAUUCUUUAUUAUAUUAUUCUUAUAUAAUUUCCAACCUGUUAAUGAACCAUUUCUUAAAUUACGAAAGAGUUCAAGAUAUGAAGUAGAUUUAAUUUAUUUACCUGUUUCUCUCUUCAUGACUGCUAUGUUUUUCAACUGAAGCAAAUUAAAAAUUCUCUUUGAAAACUUUACUUGAAGUACACUAGCUUAGACUGAUCGUCUGAUUUAUUCAGGACUAUCUAUUAUGCAUUCGACUAAUGAAACGUUUGGAAAAGCAAAGAAGCAGCCAAAAGUCUUUUCUCAGGUAAUUAAAAUCUAACCCCUAAAUAGGUCCCAUUUCAUUUUAAACUAUUGCUUUGCUUUGUUUUGUCCUGUGGGAUUUUUUCAUACUGGCUAUUCCUUAACUAUGUCCACGCUUUGUUGGUUAGGCAGGUUUUUAAAACAAGAUAUUUUUAAGCUCAGAGAUAUAAGCAAUAAAUCCAGCUAAAUGUGAGUAUUCUGACAAUUUUUAGAACAGCAGAUGAUACAAAAGACUUGCUGCAUGCAUUGCUGAUGCUUUACCACGUCUUUAAAAUAGUGCAGCACAUACUGGCAAAGAGAAAUCACAUCUGUGUAAGACAGGACUCCAUUUGUCCUGAAUGACAUUCUCAAUAGAAAAGACUUUCUUCCACACCUUAAGGCUAUAUAACUAUAUACUGUAACACUUUAUUUACAAUUAAAUGUAAUAUUUACAAAAUGUUUUAGACUCAUGUUAACUUCGCAAUGCAUGAGCUAUGUCACCAGACCAUCGUGCAAAUGAGAAUUUCCAUUUUCAGAGUCCGUAUUUUGAUGACAUUCUCAUCAUGUUACAAAGACUUCACAGCUGUGCAACAACUUCCUAAAUGAUAUUCAAAUAAGUACUGUGAUUGAGAUAACAGCACAGUGAUUCUUUGGAAGUGCCUGAUCUUACGUACGACCUAUCUGGGAGAUAGCAAAUCAAUUCUAAAACCCAGUGCUCGUUGAGAAAAUGAAUGAAGCUAAAAGUGUUUGGCAGGCUGACGUGCUUUUCUGCAAUGUAUUUACAAAAUGUUUAAGUUUUUAAGUAUUGAGGAAGAAUCAGAUGAUAGGUAGGGAAGGCAUUUUUACAUAUAAUUUAUUUGAAAUAGAUAUCUUACAAAUUUGUAUGCUGUUUUCACAGCCGGCGUGGCUUUGGUCAUUGCUGUGUUGAUCAGUGCACCGCCUUUCUGCAAUGAACAAAACAUGCUAUGUUAAUAACAUUUAUAACCUAAGUCAAAAGUUAAGACAACAGGAAAAUCUGAGUGUGCUGAAGAGAAUUAGCAGCAUAAAGAGGCUAGAACAGCCACAGCUGUGUUUCUUCCACAGCCUACUGUCUGCAGACACACAAGGGUUACAGUAUGUCACUAUCAGAGCUGACGCUUUUAUCAAUGCAUUCUAACAGGAUGAUGUAUUGUCAUUCUUUAUUCACUGCUUCCAUAUCAAAAUCAAUUCAGAAGUUAUGGUUAUUUAUCUUGCGUUCCUACCCUAAAUUAUGUAACUUCAAAAUACUUCAACUUGAAAUAAAUAUCAUGUUUAAUCACCUAAGAAUUCAAUUAAUCUAAAAUAAUAUAUUUUACUAAUCCUACAAAAGAACAAGGUUAUACCAAGCAUCUUCUGUGAGUCAAACUGCACAAACCCAUAUUAACUAUAUGCACUAUAUGCUCUUUACUAGAAGUGAUAAGCUUCAUAUCCAAUUGUACUGAGUCUCCUCCUCUCACCCCCACAGUAAACAUGUUAUAUUUAUGUUUUCUUUCCAAAUAAAAAAAACUUUUUCUAUUACAUACAUAUAAGGAAGUGGGCAAAGUUUUAAAGAAAGAAAGCUGUCAAGGAUACGGACUCUUUUUUUUGCCAAAAAUCAGUUACUUAACCAACGGAAUAUUCUAUACCUUCACGGUGUACAUCCAUUGCUGGUAAGACCUUGAAUUUCCUGGAUAUAAAAAAAAAUAUAAAAAAAGAAAACAACAGAAUCAAACAUAUAUUCAACAUCUUAAAUGUUUCAGCUCUCUUCCAAGUCUGCAUUAAAAAUUCUCUUAGAGGAUUAUUCAUUAAUUUUGCUCUUCCCAGAGAGACAAAGAACUUAAAGAUAAGAAUAUGUACAUAGUAAGGAAAAAAUAUCUUAUUUAAUGUUUUCUGUUUUCUUUGUGAAUUCUUAUCUUUUCACAACGUUUUUUUUUAAACUCCAAUUGAAGUGCAAAGAGAAAUUAAAACUACAGCAGCAUAACAUACUGUUAAAAAUUUUGAAAAGCAAACACCAAAUUAAAGGAAAGAAUAUCUAAAUGAAUUGUUCAAGAAUAAUGAUCCCACUGGGUAACCUUUCAAGUAAGACAAUGACAUGAACUGCAGAUGGUUUCAUGCUAAGGAAAAAGCACUCGAGAAAAGCCUGAAGAUUAUGUCAUCAUCGUGUACCUAUGCAUAGGAGAAAUCACUGCAACGUGCUAACUGUAUCUACCUUCUUUUUUUCUAUAGGAGAAAAAGAAUAUCUAUAUGGCAAGUGAUAGCUAUUGGUUUAUGUAGGGCUACCAUUGCACCAAGCACAGGGCUAAAUUCUAUCAAGUGCUUGAUGAAGAAAUGAACACUAUCUCCAAAACUUGCUUCAGCUAAACACCAAGAUUGGUCCCCACUCUGAGAAAGUUUUAGAGCAGAUCAAUCACUUGAAUACUCUGGCACUGUAAGCUAUUACUAACCGCAACCAAAACAUUCAUGUUGACUUGAUGAAAUUUGGUAGACUGGCAGUUUUGCAGGGAGCAUAUUGAUACAUCUUUGAUGAUACAGACUUUUAAAAUGACAUUGCAAAAAUCUAGCUUUGCAAUAAAUUAAUAAACUAAAGGCUAGGUAGAUUUAUUACAUGAGCUAAUGGAAAACCAAAUCACACUCAGUUCCUAGAACGUGACUGAGAACUAAGUGGAUGAGAGGUACUCCCAAGCUUCUUUGCCAAGUGAGGUGGAGAAACUGAGCUGUGUGCUCAGUUUGAGACAGACAGAUUCCCAGGAACUAUAGCAUGAGUGAAAGCAAUGCCUGCUUAGAAAGGAGAGAAAUUCAUGAUUAUUAUGAUCUAAACUCCAAUAAGAAUGUCAAAGAGAAACCAAAAGCAAAUCCUACUAAGUUGUUUCUUCUUCUGUUUGGCUCCCUGGAACUACCAGAGAAGGUAGCGUGAAAAAGCAUGUAAUAUGAGAAUGAGAAAAUGUAAGCAUAAAGAGGAUGGCUAUCAAAUGUCUUUUCAUGUUUAAGGGAAUAAAACUUGAUCAGCUUACUGAAACAGAAAUUAUUUAUAAAAAUAUUUCCCAAUUUCCAGUGUAAUUUUCUCUAUUGAUUUAGUUAUGGUGGCCUAUGUAGGGAAAAAAAACAAAUUAAAAAAAAACUUUCCAUCUGAAUCUGUGAUUUUUAAAUUACACUUUCUCUACUCUAGAAUACAUUCAACUCUCCUUCUAACAGCUUAUAGCUCUCUAAAGUUCUGUGACUUUUCUCAAAACUAGGUUUUCAGCUAUGGGCUUUUUUUGUUGGUGAUGGUGGUUGGUUGAUUUGUUUUUCUGUUGUUUUUCUUUUUGUUUGUUUAUAUAUUUAAAACUUUGGACUACUUGAUAAGAUGGAUGGGAUUUAACUCUGAAAAAAGAUCAUAGUUCUACACCAUUAGCAUCAAAAAUGUCACCUUCAAUUGCAUACAUAUUGUUAGCCCUGCACUUCAUAAUGAUAAUGAGACAGCAGUUAUGUAAAUACUGAAUAUGUGCCCUAAGCAAUUUGUCCUCAACCUGGCAAUAUACAGCUCGUGAGACUUGAAAAGUCAGCACACAGUGCAAGCCAAGUGAGAAGGGCUCCUGAGGCCACACACUCCCUCCCAGAUGAGAUGUGGUUCACAAGCUGCCAAUACAUGGCCAAAAAUCAAACUUUAUCUCAGUUCUAAUACAGUUUUAUUGAGGACUCUUGACCCCUUAGCUGCAGUAAGCAGACUAAAUACUGACAUAACCUAUCUGACUAACAUGCUCAAUGGCUAAAAUUUGUAUACAGAGCAUCGUAAGCUACACUGUACUGGCAGAAAGGAAGCAAAUCUCUGUUUAACUUAAUCACACUUAAAUAACAAAACAAAUGAUGUGCUAAAUCAUAGCACAAGACUCAGAGGGAGGGAGAAGGCAGUGAAAACCUUCCAAAGGACUCAUGUACUCCGAGUGUAACGAGGGUGUUUUGCAGAAGGUGAGGAUGGCUCUGUACUAAUACACCAUCUCAGCCCUGUGAACAUGCCCCUGUAAGAGUGGUCCUGCAAAGUCCAUCUGCCGCUGCCAUCUGCACCUCAGUGGAUUUGGUAGAGGCUCUAUUUACCAAGGAAACUUCUACCUUGCUUUCGUAAGGUAAUGCUUGUGCUCUGUCAUGCAUGUUGUGAUCCAACAUUUUGAAAGCAGAUAUAGCGCCUCAAAAAGAAAUACAGCAGUAUAUAAAUGUCUAACAGGAAACCAUGCAAUAAUCCUGCAAUAAUCAGAAUUAGAUACAGCACAAUCUUCUAUAUUGAUUAAAUUUGUAAGCUAACAAAUGUGAGAAGUGUUAAAAUAACUGUCAAUGAAUAUAACUGUUGGAAACAUCACCAGGAAUAAUACUUUUUUAAUGAAGGAGGCAAGUAUUUCCAUGUUCCUUCUCAGAUUACAUACAGUUGUUCAAUAUCAAGGUUCAAUUUUUUUUUUCCCUCAGUGGUACAUUCGCUAGAGAUAACUUAUCUAAACAGAAACCACUGCUUUCUGCACUGCAGAAAUAAUUAGAUGUGAAAAAGUUAGGAAAGUUUUUGAAAACCCAACUAUCUAGAACACAACCAGCAGCACAAAUGUGAAGAUUAUUAUUCAUAAGUUAACAUGGAAUUUAACAAGUAGUAUAAACAUGCAGAUAAAGCGCAACUGACAUAAUGACACAUUUGAUCACAUCUUAAAAUUUAAAUAUUGUUUUACUGGAUUAAAAAACAAAAUAUCUUCAUUUGUUAUAUUGACACACCUAGAUACACACUAUUAUUCAUUCCAGCAGUCAGUUGUUGAAGGCUAAAACCUUUCAAGAAUGAACAGAAACACUGAAACAGUACAAAUAUUAAUGACUUCUAAAAUGUAUAAGGACACCGUCAUGUUAAAGAGCUCUCAGAGAAAAGUAUCAAGUAAAACACUCUAAUUCUGUACCUCCACAAAAUCCUCCCGCUGUGAUUUCUUCUUCAAAGACAUCAGAGAAUCCCCUUCCUGCAUUUAAUUUUGAUAGUCGACCAUCAAUAAACUAAAAAAUAAAAAAUCACACUUGGUUGGUCCUUAUAUUUCUUUACACUGCUACAUAAUGGUAUGUAUGUAUGUUAUGACAGAAUUUAUAUGUUCAAGAUAACAUACGGCUUGUGGAUAAUAUAUAAUUUUACAUGGACUUUUCAACCAAGAACAGCAGAAAUGUCAAAAUACUGUACAAAAAUAUCACUGGUACUUCCUUGGAGUUUCUGCUACUUCUAUGUAUACUGAGUAAAUUACAUGUACAAUGCAACAUUUACAAAAACAAUUUGUAAAAUUUAUAGCCAAUGUACUUACAACAGUUUGUUCAGAGUUGCUUUCAAUUGCUUUCAAGCUCUUCUUGCUUUAAUAAUGGCAUUAAAAUAUUUUAGCAUACGUUUAUGAUAACUCCAUAUUAUCAUAAUCAAUUAAAGACAGACAAGAAUUCCUUGAUUUAUGUUGGGAAAUCCUAAGGUUACCUCUUAUCGUAAACAGAAAACGAUAAACAAACCUCCCUUUCUGCUUUACACAUCAAUGGGUCCAAAGUAGAACUUGUUGAAGCACACAAAACAAACAGCUGGACACAUUUCACCACAUGCACUUCAAAGAAAUGAUAAGCUACAGCAUCUAAUCGAGCUCCAAUAAAAGUCCAAUGGAUAUGUUUUACAGAAAGUGACCUUAUGAGGACAGUUAGUGUGGGGACAUCAUAACAAAACUGCCUGUACUGAAAGAGAAUUGCUGCGGCUUGUUUUCAGGAAUGGUGGCAUUAGCAGCACAGAUUUGAUCAGCAGUGUGCAAACUAACUUGAAGAACAUUUCACUCAAGUGCAAAAAUGACAUGAGGCAUGAUGCCAAGGCAGACCCUGGGCACAGUUCAGGUUGACACCAUGGAAUUUUUAAGUUCUAACGCAAGUAACACUUAUUUAGUUGCACCUACAGGUACAUAUUCCAAUACUCAUCCUGUUGUACAGGUUGCAGUUGCAUGAGUACAUGGAUUUGAAUCUAUCUGGAAGAUAGAGUCAGGAAGAGUCAAAAUAAGAUAACUAAUAAUUAGAUCUCUCAGAAGAAAUGAAUACAUUCUUUUCAGGAAUUAACAAGCUUCAAAGAAUUACAAUGAGCAUAUUUUUAAAGGUUUAAAAUUCCUUCCAGGAACAGCCCCUCCUUAUUUAUUUUGAAAAGGCUAAUGCAAAACUGAGAGAUAAAGGGAGAAAACACUUUCCUAAUUAAACACAGUUCAUCUCUUAACAAGAAAUAUGAGGUAUUCACUGGUACUAAACAGUACAUAAGAAUUGGCCAAAAUUAAUUGUUUGGUUAUGUCAUAUAUUACUACAGAUUAUCCAAACAAUGUCAGUGACAAUCUAAUGCCUGUCAAUAUUGUCAUGGAACAAAUUACAUUCUAAGAACAGAAAAAUUCCAGCAGCAAUAAUGAGACAAGCACAAAGAUAAGCAGUCCUUUCUCUCUCCCGUCUGAACUCCUUGUUUUUUCAUUUUACUCCAAGUUGGCCUUUUUCCAAACAGGUUGGGUUCAUGGUCAUACCUCUUUGGGAUCACUGGAUUAUUUCACAGUGAGAAGAGAGAUAAGAACAUCUUUAGCUACUGCUGAGAAAAAAAGAAAAAACAGCCAUACUUUGAACUGUAAGGCAUUAUCUCUUUGGGGAAAGUUAUGAAUUCAUUCCAUGCCAUAAACUAGCAAAAGAUUUAUGGACAUACUCAAUGUUUGGUAAAAUUCUGUCAAUGGCAGGCUGAGACACUGGCUGAAUUUUAGUUUUUAGAAGGUCAGUUCAACUGAGUAUUUAAUGGAAAUACUGAAAAAUAGAUAGGUCCAAAAAAAAAAAAACAACUGAAAUUAUUUAAAGGAAAUGAUAUUAUUACUAUCAUUACUUUCGAGUCAUUUACUAGUAUGAGUUGCACUGAAAUGACUAAAUGAAAAAAAUAGCAUUUGGAAUCAUGCAUGCCUUAUAUCAUAUUCUUCUCUCAUUUUUAAAGCCAUAGUCUUUGGAAAAUCAGUUCAAGUAAUGCAGCCUCUUACAAAUCCAGAGACACCACGCUCGACUACCACUUGUAAUGAAAAAUACUAACUGAUGCUACUACUGGAUUUUGUCAGACUAAGGAGAACUAUCAGACUCCUUAAAUGUUUUUGAAUUCUAAAAAUAAAGGAUAGACCAUAUGAAACUCUGAAGGUUUUGCGGCACAACUGUUAAAGAGGGAAGGCAGAGGAUGUUGUCAGUCAAAUCCAAACAUAUAAAUAAAUGUAGGGAGCAGUAAAAAUUCCAAGUGAAUCACCAGUUACCAAGAACAAGAACUUAGUGGAACAAAGAGUUUCCACACAACAGCAGCUCCAGCUCCAAUUAUAUUAUUCAUACAACUGUACUGUUUAAUGAAGUAUUCUAACAUUAGUAUUCAUGCUAAUUCUAUGAAUGAAUUAAUUGUUUCCCUGGACACUCAAAAGAACUAUUUGACACAUACUACUAUUAAUUCCUUACACUUGAAGACCGAAAUACAGCAGAAGUAACAGUACAAUUCCUUAAAAAAUAAAGGAUGUGAUAAGUGCUGAUCUGUCAGUUUGCCCUCAGCAGUCUGAUGAUGUUUCAGGUAGAUUUGAAGAGGGCAAAGAAAGGUAAAUAGGAAAAUGGAAUGAUGUAUCAAAUGAGUUAUCAAAUAGCAAGUUCUCACAUAUUCUUUGACAAUUUUCUUGAUAAAGGAAAUCUACCUGAAAGAUAGCACAUCUACCUUAUAAUAUUAGCUCAGAUGAAGUAAAAGCAGAGUAUCUGAAUAGUACCUGAAUGUUAUGUCAGAUGAGGACUUGCCCACAAAAGCGUGUUAUAAAAGGGAAGCACCAGACCGCGACUGUCACCAGUAACAGCAUUUAAAGACAAAUGUUGGGACUGAUGCUAUUUACAGGUUAGUUACUGUUUUUCAUACAAAAGACUGGCAUGUACCAAUACACUUGGUGACAUAAUUGUCAGAAUACACAUCAAAAUACAACAGAAGGUAAAGAUGGAUUAUACUGAAGAGGAAAAUAACUGGAAUGUGACGAACAUGAAGAAUUCCACAGUUUACAGUGGAAGCUGGAAAUGAUCCUAUGGUGGUUUCCUGGUACUUCGAUAAAUUUCCAAGAAGAACAGAGGUGGAGGGCAGAGAGAAGAUUUUAAAAUAUACCCCCACCAAAAACAAACAAACAAAAACAACAAAAAACACAGCAACAAAUGACAUGAGUUAAACUUAUUUGUCAGUCAAUGCAAAAAGCACCCAAACCUUUUUUAUAUACUUAUUUUCUGCUUCUAAAAAAAUUAUUUACCGCUUAACAAUUAGUCAUUUUCAGGAACAUAAUGGAAUACAGUUUAUUCUGUUGAAAACAACCUUGAAAACAGCUCAUUUGUCAGUGGGAAAAGCUAUAAAAGAUGCAGCUGGGCUGAGGAUUAGCUGAAGUGGGAGUAACAAUCACACAAAGUAGGAGAAUGAAAAAAAUGUUUACUAUUAAACCACACACCAUCAAAAUUGUUACUAUUUCCUAAUCCUUUGUAAUAUAUUAUUUCCUUUAGUGUGAAUAAAAGGAAAACUAGCUAUAAACAAACUAUAUACUGAUUAUUUGUAGUCAAGCAUAUUAAAACAUAAUGAGUAAGUUCAGAGCCACACUGACUAGCCCGUAUUUAAGUGAAGUUAAACAUUUUCCCUGCAACUGAAGACCAGGCUUAGUAAAUCAACAACAAUUUGGAAACUUCAUUUGUAAGCAUUUUUCUUGCUAAAAAAGUUUCAAGUCUUAAGAUAUGCAAAAUGUAAACAGCUUGCUCCAUUAUUUCUUUCCACUUCAAUCUCUUGUCCCAGAUACUCCAACAGGUUGCAGAUAUCUUCAUUAAUUUUUUACUUACAUUUUGUAACCAUAUAAUAUAGCAGUAAAAUUGAAGGAGCUUCUACAGACUAUCAUCCCUACAUAAAUCUUUACUAUUAACUUCUGAUUAGCACCAAGCAUUUUUUCAAAACCAGAAAAUCCUAAAUAUAAUGAAUUUCCCUUAUCUAUCAUGGUAGUCUAUCUUCAAAGGGGUCCGUUAGAUUACUUUAACAUGAACUCUCAUUCCUCAGUCAUUCCAGAUAUCUGCAGGAAAAUAAGUACUUUGAGUCUCAGGUUCUCCUUAAUCAGCUACGAUAUUCUUCAGACUGCCCCUAUGGCUUGGGUUGGCAACAUUCUCUGUAUGCCUACUUCAGAAACCCUAGCAAUGAAAGUUGUAAUUACGAUAUUAGCCCAGUUUUUAAAUAAAAUGCCACCGAAGUCCAAUUUAAGCAAGCACUUUGCUGUUUAGAUCUUUGGUCAUGAGCCAAGGGAGCUGAAAAUGAAGUUCCACCAUCAAGCUGGGAGAUCCACGAUUUUUCUUGCCUAGAUGCAUUGCUGACUGGCUCUGAACAGGAGCUGCCCUGGGUCUGCACCCUGGAGUUGCUUUCACUUUUUUUCCCCUGCAUUUUUUUUUUUUAAGCUAUAAAUGAAAUCUUAAUAAUAGAAUGAAACUAGAAUGACUGCCUGUACACAAAUACUUGUGUUUUAUCCUGAAGUUUCAUAAGAUGAUAGAAAGGGAUAUAUAUUUAAAUAUGGACGUAUUUCCAAAGCAAAUAAUUAAAUUUGGGUCUUUUACCCCACUCAUACCUGUUUAAACAGUUGAAGAUUAACAGCAGUUUCCAGGAACUGUUUUGUAGUACUGGAACGAUGCUUCACAAAACUAUUCUCACAGAAAGUUAUAGGUUCUCCCUAAAAGAGUUGAAAUGGAAAACAUUGGAUGUUAACUACAGUAUACAAACAUGUUGAUUUAUUUCAGAUCUCACUGCACAUGCAUAAAAUAAAAAAAACACAGACAACAACAAAGAAAUCUUCAUACAUUUUAAAUACCUCUAAGAACACAUGUUGCAAUAGAACCUCUCAUUUAUGAAGGUUUAAUGUUAGUCUACAAAAAACACUUUGCGAGGAAAAGGUAAGUGGUUUACAGUUGGUUCAUAUUACCUCCAAAGUACCCUCCAUUAAAUAUUUCAAGGAAGUGGCUCAAAGUUUGAAGGAUAGCAGGUCCUUUGCUUCGAAUAGUUCAACACUCAUUGCUCUCAUUCAACAGGAAAAUAUUGCAAUACAUUUAUUUUGACAUUAUUUCCACAAAAACAGAAGUCGCAAACACUGGCUUUUGGAAAAAAAAAUCUAAACAGACCAGAUUAACAUUUUGUAAAAUAAAACAUGAUCACAACACAAGGAAAGCACAUCUCCCAUAGUUUACCAAGCACUCUACAAAAAAAAAAAAAAAAAAAACUAAUGAUGGAAAAAAUAAAUGAGUACUCAUUGAAAAUGAAGUAUUUGUUAAAAACUUAACUGUAAACAGUGCUCAUUUGAAAAUAAAGGUUAUUUAUAAACAGUUGAAGUGGCUCCUGUGUUAUCCCUUAAUUUGAUUUAUAAUUUGCUAUCUGCAGCAUGCACAGAGCACAGGAAGUUACUGAGAGGCAUUCUCUCAAAUUGUUAUUCUUGUCAAUACUUUGCAAUAAAUAUUGGAAGCUGUUAGAUUUAAAUGAAUAAGUAAUGCAUACACUAAAAAGUUUGUGUAGUGAUGAAGACAUUAACUGAUUUCAUCGCAAAUCUGAGAGGCCCCCCCAUCCAAGUAUACAGAACAAAGAAGUAAUCAGUUUAGAAACGAUUAGUAAGAUGAAAAAUUGGAAUCCAACAAAAUUCUGCACCUAAGCCUGCCCCUAGGAUGAUUUACUACCCAAAAACUAAAUACCCACAACGGACUAAGCCACCUCAGCCACUCAAAAGAAAAAAAGAUCAAAGGCACCUCCUUAUAUUGAUCUUCCUGAUACUAAAACAGGAGUCCUGUCAGGUUCCAACUGUUAGUCACUUUGAAGACAAAUGUAUUCAUGCCCAUGACCACCACUGCUUUCCACCCCGAACCCUGGUUAACUUUAAUCGCACAUGGUACUUCAUACACUUUCCUGGCUUCCUGGGACAUUCUACACUUCUUGAAUACAACAAGGUAUUCUUAGCACGUGACCUUGGUGAGUUUGGCAGGGUAGCUCUAAAUCAUUCUCAAAUGCUUUUUUAUACCUUGCAUUUUGCUUUUUAAAUGAUGUAAGUGUGAUCCAAUGAAAUGUAGCAGUAAAACCACCCUCACAUCCUUUUAAAAUCCUAUUUGGAUGCUACCAAAAGCUUUCCCCUCUUUUUCAACUUGCAGGGGCAUCUUGUCAUAGCUAAAAUCAAAUUUUGGAUAUCUUACCACAGCACCUAAAUUCAAAGUAUCUAAAACUGUAGAGAGGUCCAAUCCUACUCAGCAAAGCAUGCAAGCUCAUGCUUAACUUGCUUUUAAGUCUUAUGUUCUGACACCUGUAAGAGAAUUCUGAUUUUUAGAAAAGAAUUCUCCUGGGAAGAGUUAGAAGCAACAUUUAACCAAAUUUAUUUAACACAGUCCUUCCCCUUUCCCAGAGUACUUGGCAUGAAAUGAUACGCAAAACCAUCUCAGUACAGCAUCUCCAUCACAUCUCCAUGAUGAGCUUUCCAGUAACUCCAACUACUGCUUCUCCAGAGAUAACUGGUGAACACUGUACACAUGCAGGACAUGCUGAAUCUGUCAAAGAGCUUGAACUGUUUGUGGCACUUUAAAUAGCAUUGCCUUCCUGACCCACUUUGCGUUAGCUUUUCUUGAGCUCCUGAAAACUCUUGUCUUAAGAAGAUGACCUCAAGCUACUUAGCAAAUUCAAAGUGCUUCAAAACAAAUGAAACAGUCUCCAGUGAGAUAUGGUGGUACAAGACAUGGUGUUCCUGAGGGCAGACUCUCUUCUCAGUUCUGUCGCUCUUCCAAACUAUUUCAAGGCAGCAAAUUAGAAAAAAAUCCUUAUUUAUUUAUUUCUUUACACAACAAAUAAUUUCUGAAAAUACAGAGGCUAUGUGGGAGUGCAGAACUGACUAGAUGAUGACUCACAACAGACUAUGAAACCUUAAAUUUAGAACCAAAGAAAGAAAAGGAUAUUAUUUUCAAGACACACUCUUUGGAAAAAUUAAAAGCAAGCAAAGCCUUUACUGCUACUUUCCCCAAAGUUGUGGGAAAGAUCAAAGACAGAAAGGAGAGGUUAUCUCCCAGUAAAAGAGAAAACAGGCAAUCCCGCUCUUCCCCUCCUAUCAGCCUAGGAAGAGAGAGCAGUGAGAGUUCUCCUUGACAGUACCUCUUCGGCCUGAGCCAUGUAGCAGAACACCAGGAAAUGGCAGCUCAACACACAUUUUUAGUGUAUGGCUGUACUAGUCUCCUAAAUAUUUCCCUUUAUCACUGGAUAGUUCAGAUAUUUAGUAAGCACUCAUGCAUUGGUGCAUUUGUUGCCUUAUCAAUAAGGUUCAGAAAAAGAAUAACCAAAGCUAUACCUUGGCUUAAAAUGUAUUUAGAGCUAAUUCGGUUCACAUCCAAAAACAAUCCAGUUGUUGCAAUCUACUGAUAGUAAGGUUGUUUUAAAAACUUGAUUUGAUAGGUUCAAAGCUCCUACCAGUUCUUCACAUGAAAGGGAGAAAAUCUCUUGAAACCUAUAGAAAUUUCAGACUUAAGUUUCUGAAUAUCUGCUGUAACAUUACUGAAAUUGCAUUAAAUAACAAAAACUGUUAACACUUAUUUCUUUCAUUUGUUUCAUACUCUGAAUAAAUACAUUGUUUUCCUAAUAAAGCUUUGCCAAAUCUACAAGAUUGUUAUGGUAAACAGAGGUUUUGGAUUGCUGUUUAAAAAUGAAGCUAUUUAUCUAAUAUAAACAAAAAAGCUCCAGAAGUUUUGGACAUGAAGCACAUAACAUUCUUGUUUCUGCAAAUACAGCUGGGUACCUUUAGAAACUCUGAGGUUUGGAAGAAUGAUCCACUGAUAUUUAACUACUUCACCAUCAAAUGGCCCCUUUCGUAUUGAUCUACAAUGUACUUUCAAAACCAGCUCGAUCAAAACCCAGUAGGGACUCCAUACUGAAAAGUAGACAGCUAAUACUCAGACCAAACAGUCUAUGCCCAAACAAGAUAUCUGUCCUUUUAACAACAGUUGCUAUAGAAUUUUCCUCCCCUUUCAUAGCUUGCCACACACAGCAGGCAUUUUUCACUCCAAGCUACAUUCGCAGUUUAAGAAAGCUAUUUAUGCAGACCUCAACAGAAUGGGAAAGUAGCAAUCCAAAACUGUGCAAGGGUUUUAAAAGGAAAGGUAGUGGUGUAGAUUAGAAGGCAUGUUUAACAAGAAGUACUAGCAUUUCUACUGUUUCAGGAAACAUAUAUUUCUAGCGCAAGAUGACUCUUACACUGUUUUAAUUAUUGCCAUAAUUGUAAAGUUUCACAUGGCAACACUUGCUUAAUACAAAAUGAGUAUAUAAGAUAGGUAAAAAUUCCUCAGUGUUGUAUCAUUUUUCAAGAAAAGUCCAAUUUUAAACAUCAUUCUUACUUUUAUAUGAAAACCCCUUUGUUUAAAAAUCAAAGUAGUAAAAACACAACAUUUCAGCUGUUGGCCUGACAGUGAAAGACAAGCAUCCAGGAAAUAACUGAGUAUGACUUAACUACGUGUUCUACUCACAAAGGUACCAUUUAAAAUUACAAACAAAUUACUGCAAGGUUUGCCCGUUUUUUGCCAUCCACCUAAUCAAAGAUUCAGAUGAGCUGAUAUUUCUUGCAGUUACAAUUAGGCCCUUCUAGCACUGCUAUUAACAUCUAUAUUCAAUAAAGAACCAUUACAGUUCUUAAUAUAAAUGUAACAGUAUGGCUUUUAGCAUGAAAAAAGGGUUCUUAGAGAAGUGACAAUAAAGAGACAUAACAGGUAUAACAGGGUGGUUCUGUAUUUAAGCACAAGCUACCUUCUGGCAUUUUACUACUGUUUCUCUACUCUCCUGUAACUUUUACGCCUAACUUGGGCAAAAGGCAAACACAUCGAUGUCCACUUCUCAAGGUAGUUGUGUCCUCAAAAGAUUUCAUUUUGAAACUCAAUUAUAAGCAAUUGUUGCUUAAGCGUUCUCAUGCAUUCAGGAGCAUUCAACCUUAAAAUAUCCUUUCCUUCCCCUAACAUAACACUCUUAAUUGCACUAUUCUUAUUUCUUGCAUUUUAAAUAAAAUACCCGGGUCUGUUUGAAAGUUAAUAUAACUACUUAAAGUGUAGUUAAAAACGUGCAGGCCCAAAGCACUCCAGAAAGCAUCCAAUUAAAGCAAGGUCUGACAGGUUGUGCUAUCUCCAAUACGGAGGCUAUCCCAUCCCCUCGCAGUGCCAAUCAGACUGUGAACUCCUGCUGGCAAGAAUUCCAAAUCAUGCCAUUUAGCCUCUGCUCUUCUUUUUGUAAUUUCUGACGAAUGUUACAAUCAUCAUAACUUAAAACAAAGAUAUGUGGAGUUUAUUUCUUUUGGUUUAACAUCAAUAGCUUUGAUGAUUUUUUUCCCCCAAAACUGGAGGUGAUUUUCUUGAACGACUAUCUUCUGUUGGCUAACUCUUGAAGAAAAGCCAAUUCUUCAAAAGCAGAAAAUAACUUACUGUUGCUUAUAACCCCCUAGUUUUCAAACAGGUACAUCUCAAAGAGAAUUUGUUUAUUUGAAAUACAUUUGAAAUGUAUUUCUCUUGUCAUGAUGGACUACGUUUUUCUUGUUUAAAUCACAGCUAUAAUUCUUCCUGAUGUUUGCUAGUCACAAGCAAAGCAGGAAAGCCGGUUUCAACUUUUAUCAUUGGGAAAAGGAAUCUCUUAUUAUUUGUUAUUAUUUUUCCUCUUCUACCCUCAAAAUCUCACCUACCUUUCCCUCUCUAGACACAGUCAGUGAAAUACUGCCUUUUAAAGAAAUUUUUACACCACUUACUCUUUUAUUAUCUGACUAUAUUGCAUACAUUUAAUGGGGAAAAAAAAAUCUAGUCUUUGCUAUCAUCUACAAGAUCUACAUAAGUUCAUGCGUAAGGUUCUUUUUCCCUGGACACCAUAGCACUGCUAAAAUGUUUGAUUGGUGUGGUUUACAUCUGCAAGGCUGCCUGAAAAAUACCCGUGAAGAAUAUGUGAAGUAAAAAGCUGGAAAGGAACACAAUAUUGCACAUGCACUAAUUGAUAAAGUGAAACAAACAGCAUAAUUGCAAUCUUUGUAUUUAACUCCCAUCAUUGCAUGUUCUGAAACAUGCAAUAUUAUUUUGUAAUAAAUUCCCAAAUGUCGGACUACCUGAAGGAAAUAGGAGCAACAAAAGGCUCAAGGCUAAGUUGCGACUAGACAAAACAAAUAUGAUUUCUAUAUGUAUACGCAUCUACAUGGUUUAAGGACAUAUCACAACACUAAUCCUUACAGUGUCACAGCAGGGACAGAUUCUUGUAACCAAAAUUGUUCACGGCUACUGACGUUAGAGAUCACACAAUGGCUACUACUGCGACCACUAGCUGGGCUAGCACGACAAGACACUGAUAUUGCACAGAGGAGAUUUUCUUUUUUAGAAAUUUCUCAAAUAAGGAAGUCAAUAAAGAUAAAAGUCUGUUUUAUUUUCUUUUUCUCUUCCCUAUCAAAAUCUUGGAAUGGUAAUGGGAUAUUAAAACAGGCUAUAAAAGCAAUAUUUUCAGACACCCUUCAACAACCACGUAUGAAGUGGAUUCCUUCUGUAUUAAAGUAAACCAGAAAAUGGCCUUCAGCUAUUGUAGACAUUUAGUAGUCAACACUAAAAUAAAUAAUAAUAAUAAUAAAUAAGAAUCACAAAGCUAGACAUGCACACACUGUGGAUGCCAGGCCCUUAUCACCAGCUGUACUGAUUUGCUCUACAGAUCCACUCCUAUUACGAAAUAGUUGCUAAAGUAAAUCACAACAUACUACAAAAAAUAAUUUCGGCAGUUAUAUCAGAUUUGACUGAUUUCUCUUUUAAUUCACUGUCAUGAUUAAAUCAUAUAAAACACCUCUUUCUGCUUUUCUUGAAAACUUUACUGGAUUGAUAUUUUUCUUAUCAUAUAUUACACACAAAAAAAUAUUAUCACCUAUAUCCAUUGCAUGUCAUAUUUCCUGCCAGUAUUCAAGUAGUCAAAUUUUCCAUAUGGUCUUUCGGAGUCCCAUGAACUCCUUUUGAGACCCCCGAAGCUUCCCGUUUUCCCUUUCACCAAUCACAUUAUUUUCAAUAAUUGCUAGACGUUUGUUCAAGACAUAUUGCUACACCAAGGAGAAUCUGUCCUAUGCUGAAAACAAACAGUUGCACAGAAUGAGUGUUCAGUGUGAUGAACAGCGUUUGGAAUGAAGAGAAGUGUUGGAUGAGUACAGACACUAUCAAAGCUGUUCUUUACUCAAAGUGAAUAUUAAUGACAGUUGUUUCAUGUUUCAAGUUAAAACCAUACAGAACACCCCACUGCAAGUAAAGUAGUUCACUUGAACAUAUUUUUAAACCUAUAGGCAAGUAAUAACUAUCCUAAUGAAAAAUAAAAUGUUUGGAUGUUUAUGAUCCUAAAAAUGGUAUCCUAUAGCCUCCCAUUUCUUGAUUCUGAAAAUACAACAAGCUUAUUUACAGCAAAAGUAUUUCAAAAUUACAUAGAAAAUAUUUUAAGUAUAUCUCUCACAAAGUUUUCGUGAGAAUACUACUUGAGCUCUCAAACUCGCUAACCCUGGUUUAGAUUUUCUUCAUUAGAUGUAGCAUCACAGACGCCAAGACAAAGGAUAGCAUUUUCCUUGCAAUAACAAUUCAUAUGUCCUGAGUCUCAUGACAAAUGCUCUCAAUACAGUCAAGUGAGACUGGAUUUCUUGAACCUUCUAAUUUAUAAGGCACUAAACUUAGUUCAAAAGGUUCAUGUAAAAUGAGCUGAACGAUCACUGAACAACUCCUCUUAGUCUCUAUUAGUCUGGAGCAAGUUCAGCUCCUAGUAACUUUUUCCUAUCACAAACAUUCUGUAAAAAAUUGUAUUAGUUAGUACAGUGGGAACACAGCUCAAUAUAUAUAUAUUUUUUCCAAUAUAUAUACACACUCGGUCUUCGGACAAGUUGAUGCCAAUCUGAGAUAUGCUGACACUUGUCAGCAUACUUCUGCUAAAAUUUUCUGAAAUAACAUAUCUUAUGAAAAUAAAAUAUUAAAAAAAAACAGGCCACAAUGAUUACAUAAAUAUUGUCACUAAUAUGCAGUUGGUAAGCUAAGAAAAAUAAUACUCAAAAAAGAAUGAUGCAAAAACAAAGAUAGAAAAGGUCAUUGAGACAUGUGCCAGCAGAAGUGAUGUAUGGUGCACUACUUCCAAUACAAUGCAAAUGCAGACAUGUCAGAUAUGGCAACAGACACACUAAAAUAAAAUGGAAAGCAGAGCUGAAUUCAACAGAGAUGCUAAUCAGAAUGCUGAAGAACUUAUGUUCCAUUCAACAAACUUACCAUAAAGGACUGAGUCCAUCCUUUUUCCAAUCAGAACAAAGGUUAAGAACAUCAGCCAGACUGACAUGAUUUUGCUUGGAUAUAUUGACUAUAGUUUAAGACAAUUUUUGACACAAUUGCUUGUAUCAUAAGCUGACGUGGGUUGACAACGACCAAUGUCUUCAUCUUUGGACUAAGGGACAGAUUAGAUAACCCCUUCCUGUGCAAUGUCAAGUAAUGUCGAUAUGGAAUAAACUGCAUCUGUUUUGUUGAAAAGAUCUAUUUUUAUGUAAUUCAUACUGUGCUGUCCUUCAGCAAUUCUGAAAACAAGUAGAAUAAUUUCAGUACCAUAUGCAAACUGAGUUUACAUAUAAAAAGAAAACUAUAAUGUCUGUCAAACACAAAUACUUACACUAAAUCCUUCAACAUUUCCAAAUGGGUUACUUUUUAAAUCUCAAUAGUUGUCUAAAGCUUCUUAGCGGCAUAAACAGCAAGGGUGUAAAACACUCAUGGCAAUAAAGACUAUGUGAAAGAGAACAACUUGGGUAGGAUGCAGACCCUAUUUAAUGCCUUAAGAAUGAUGAUUUUUCUCCUGCCAAAUCUCAGUAUUUGUCUGAAUCAUUCUGAAUUUAGACCAGCCUUGAUUUUUAAAAGAACAGUAAAAAGCCACGUUCUGAGACUGAUUCAGUCAAUGUCAUCGUGAUGAACUUCUAUCAGAUGGAACUGCUGUCCAGAGUUUGUAAAUAUCAUAGGAAAGUAACUUGAAAUUAAUCCACAUGUUGUUUCUGGUAAAUAAUUUUAUCAUUAAAUAGGCCCCAUAUGUGCCACCUACAUACACCAGAAAGGAUGUAAGCCUGAAACACAUUAACCAAGUACCAUCAAAACCAGAAAAAUGCAAGUUCUGAAGCUCUGAUGGGAUGAACUGUGUUUUCAUUUCUUCUGUCUUCUCAGUGGAAUCAAGGUAAGUAAAUAAAUGUAGAGAUACACGUUUGAAUCAUCAUAUCUGGCAUCUGCUAGAAAAUAAAGAACUUCUGGCCUCAAACGUAGCCAAGUAUCUGGACCUGCACAAUGAAAAAUGACUGAGUCUCUGAAAGGGACAGUCUCUUCAGUUCUUUAGUACAUUAAAUAAGGUGAGCUAUAAACACUUCCGUUAGUGUAAUCAAAUUUCAUACUAAAUAAGUUAUAGAAGUUACACAAAUCAAGUUGACUUUGGACAAGCAUUCAUUUCUCAGUACAAUUCACGAUGAGGAGGUAAGUCUUCUGAACUGCCAACAUAUUCUGAGCUCAGAGUAAGGUUUAAAGCAGUUGAUUUGAAAUGUUCCAGACUGGGAUAAUAUUUCACAUUUCCCUUGCAAGAGAAUAAGCCUGUGCACUUGUAAAUUAAUGGAAUAAAUAAGCUGUCUUACUGGCUUGUAUCUCAGUGCAUCUCUGUAGGAUCCAAACAGUGAUGCCUGUGCCCGAAGAAACGCCUUGGCUACUCCGUCACCCGUAGCUGUAGACUGCUUUUUCAGUUUAUUUUUCAGGGCCGAGACCUGCAUGACAGAGUGGAACAGUUAAAUUAACACCUCAGAAAUUGGUACAGCGAGGUAUGAACCCAAUCAGCAGGCAAACCAUGGUGUCUACAGGUCAGCCAAAAAUUCAUCCUCCUCCUUGAUAGCUUAUCUUUUUAACUGCAAAGAGCACCUGCUGGUCUGUUAAUUGAAAUGAAGGCAGGGGAUGAUGGUGGAGUGCUAAUGCAAAUUGGUUAUGCUCUCUUUUUUUCCCAAGGCCUCUUGACAUAAAUAAGCUUAAUUAUUUUACAGUAAACUGCACGUGAGCCACUUUUCUGCAGAUCUUUUUCAAACAUGAAUUUUGUCUUCUCAUUUUGAAUAAAGAGCUUUUUUUUAAUUUAUAUUUCAAAGAUUUGUUUUUAAGGACUCCCGAUGCUCACUUGCAGUUCAGUUAUAGAGGUUGGUUUUUUUUAAAUACCAAAUUACUAUCUUACAUCAUUACUCGUGCACCGCAGGAGUAGCUGCUACCAGUAUCUAACAAUGGGAAAAGUUUGCAUAAAGUCAGCUGUCUUUUGAAUUGUUCUUGAAAAUAAAACAUGUGAAAGGGGAAAAAAAGAGAGAACUCUGGUAAUGCACUUGUAGGUUGGGGGGGGGGGGAAAAGGAAGAAAAGAAAAAAAUGCAUACUUAUUUUUGUGCUUGACUUUUUUUUCUUUCUUUUUUUUUUUAAGAUCUAUCUUCUCUUUUCUCAGCAUAGAUGGCCAUUACUUGGAGAUAUUCCAAGAAAAAAAUUCCCCAAUCUGGAAUUAUUGCAGUACUCUUUAAAGGUAUGUGGAAUUACACCCAGUUAUAGUUUUAUUCUCCUAAUUACAACCACAAGGGAUAUCUGGAGAAAUAAGCUAACUUCAAUUAUGCUGUGAAUACAAGUUCCUGCCUCCCUUUGUAUUUUGACAUAACCAUAACAGCAAUAUUUAUGUCAUUAAAUGCUAUAUGAAGUAACACGUAUACUUACUCUUUAACCAGAAUAUUAUGAGCACAUAGCAUCAGCAAAGCAUCUUUCAUUCUUUCAGAAAUGUAUGCAAGAAUGAGUAUCUUUGUUUCUUUAUGCAAGCAGUCACGACUGUUCUUGUAGAUGAUGAUUGUAAUUGAAGUGUCAACCUAAUUAACAACUAAACUUUGAAUAAUGCUAAUGAGAACUGAACAUGGCAUCAGAGAAAAGACCGGCUCUACAGGUGAUAAACCUUCACAGUAGUGACAUUUUCCAGUGUAAAGUCACAGUUACUGUGAUCUGAUCAAAGACAGAGACCCCCAUUGGGUCCAAUUAUAACUAUAGUUUUGAAAAAAGAAUUAUUGAGUUAUGAUGUUCAUAAUCUAUGCAGAAAGGCCUUUACAGUAUAGGUCUUUUCCCCAUAGCUGUGAUCUUUUCAAUUUAUAUCCAAGCUCCAUAGAUCUAGAUAAAAGUUUAGAGCCUGCUUCGUUUAGCCCAUGGAAAGCAUACACCAAGCCUCAUUUACGUUUUUCCCUUACACCUCAAAAGGGAAAAAAAAAAAAAAAGAGUACAGUUCUUAGUACAAAAAACAGUUAGGGAGGUCAAGGUUGGAAAAACAAAUGCAUGUUAUUUUCUUUGUUUCAUGCUGUACUGUUAUAUUAAAAUUGUUAAAAAUUAGGUUUAUUUAAUUCUGGCUCAAAUAAAUGGGGGAUAUACUUUGUUGAAGGGAAAUGUACCCAUCAGUGUUAGCUCAGUUUCACCAAAAGCAGAGAAAAGAAUUCUCACCCUUAGAGCACUGUCUGUCAUGAUGAACAAAGCAUCUUAAAUAUGUGAAAAUUUCCUCUUCCCUCUACUUUCUUAGAAAUCUAUGUUAUUCUAAAUUAUAUCUUGCAUACAUUGAUGUGAAAAAAGAUGUUUUAAAACAUGUCUUGUACUGUUACUUAACUUACACCAGUUUGUCUCGUAAAAAAAAAAAAUAAAACAAAGCUGAACACAGCCAGUCUAGUAGAAAAUAUUGAAUCUAGUAUCGUUGCAUUAAGAAAUUAUCGUGAAACAAUAAUUAGAAUAGUUUUUCAAAACAGGAAACAUUAUUGAGUUUUAUUUUUUAAAACAAAAUCAAUCCAAUACUAUCUCUUCCAAUAUAUAAAGAAUAACUCAAACUAAAAUAUAAUUAACCUCAUGCAUUGGAAAAUACUUUUCAGCUACCAAGCCACGUAUUUCCAAAAGGCAUAAAGGCAUAUGACACACGGUGUGACAUGAUCAAAUGAUAAAGAGUUUCAGAGCUCUAUCUUGUGCUCAAGUUACUUCAUACUUUUAGCAGUACUGUUCUAAACAGCCAUGAGUUCAUAUGUUGUGUUGAUCAGGGCCUGACUAUCAUUAUAAUUAGGACUGUUCUCAAAUCAAGUGAAAUGCAUCAUAGAAUGGAAGGGGAACGGGGCAUACAAUCUUUCUCCUUACAACCCAGCUUCAGGGAUACUCAAACAGAAGAGGCACAAAUGUCCUCUUCACCUGAAUUUUCCAGCAGCACAUCUGUUGUGUUACUGUGACUAAAUCAAAUCACUCUGUAAAUUGCCAUUUAAGCAAGUCUGACUUCAGCAUAGGCUGUACCUAUGAACACACAAUAGUGUCACCAAGCAGCAGUAUGUUACCUGUGUCAGUAAAGAAUCUUCUAAUGGAAACAGCAAAAAUAAAACAGUCAAAUAGAAAAUAGACAUCACUCCAACUUGUGUGAGAUCACUUGUUUCUAUGUUCAUCAGCAUUUAGUGCCUUUCCCUCCAGAUGGAUAAAUAGUUGAAAACUCCUCCUGUCAUUCUUGGAGGCAGGGGCACAAUUAAUGCAAUUAACAAAAAAUCAAGAAUAAGGAAUGGGUGUGUUUCAACUGAAAGAAAAAAGGUCCUAUGCUGAAUACCGAAAGUGAUGAGUUUGGGAAAAUUUCAGCAGAUGAUAAGAGAAAGGAAGAAAAGAUGUAGAGAAAGGGAAUUAUAUAACGAAGUGAGGGAAAAAGGGACUAUCUUAUUUUUCAUUUCUGGCAGGACCCACUGGCCCUAAAAUAAAACAGAAUCAGGACACUUUAGGCAAAUGCAUAUUUCAAUGAACACCAGAAAGCAAAAAAAAAAAAAAUCUCCCACUUCUCUGCAUUAUUAGUACGUUAUUAGUUCAACAAUACUGGGAAGAUUCUAAUGGACUGGGCUUGAAGGCAGAAGGCUCCAGCACAAAAAUGUGCAAGAACACUGCACUGUCAGGAGUGCAGUACCGAGUUGCCAUCCUGGAGAGAGUUCUGGCCUCAGAACGAUUAUACUGGAGUUCUAAAAGUUUCUCCAAGCCUGAUUUCUCAAGCAGCGCAGCUGGAGUCCUUGCUGAAGUACUCCUAAGCACCCUCACUGCCUGCUUGCCCAGGUUUCUUGCAAGCUGAAGUCAUCAAACACCGGUAUGCUAUCAAACCACCAAGAGACAGCAAAGCCAGGCUGCCCCUUGGGGUAGUUACCUGCAAAUCCUCCCAGCUCCACAGUUUAACCAGACAGACAGUGACAGAGCAGUUACUGCGCUCGGUACCACAGGUACAGACAUAAGAAUGGGAGCUUUGAACUCCUUGUAAGGGGUUGGUGCACAGCAGGUCUAUGAUCACUUAUAACAUAAAACUCCUUUGGGUGAUGCAAUAAUGACAGAAUAAAUCACUCCUAAAAUUUCAAAGGAAAUACACAGCACUGGUACAAAGCCAAAAUACGCCCCAGUGGCAACUUUACCAUUUUUUUUCUUAUAUAUGUUUUUAUCCUUUUACCUAUGAUUAAGAAUGCCAGACUUUUUUUCUCCAUUUCUUCCCAUGACUUAAACAGAAAUAGCCUUUAAAAAAGUUUAAAAAUAAAGACCUAGAAACAAACCACAGAGUUAGAAUGCUGUUAGAUUUUUCUUUUUCUAGGAGUCACUUAAUGAUCUGUCUCAGAAAUGGUAUUAUUAAUUUACACUAGAAGCAAACUGUUUUUAUCUUCUCCUAGCAACUGCUUCUCAUAGGAAAGUGACUUCAUUGGGCUGUUAAACGCUACCAGUGAAGAGCAAUCAAAGCUUUCAGAAGGUUUAAAUCAAUAGAAUAGUUUUUUGGAGAUUUAGGAAGUCAUAAGGUUGGUAUGUGGUUUUGCUCUUGUACAUAUGAAGUAACUAAAAAAUGCCAAAACAUAUUGUGUUGCUCGCUGAAAAGAACCUUUUUUUUUUUUUAACUAGUCACCAUAUAUCUUUUAAGUCUCCAAACACAGUUACCUGACCAGAAACAAGUCAUGAGUAAUAUCUCUUCGAUAUUCAUAUGAUUGAAAUAAUAGAACUGCACAAAAAAAGUUAAAAAGAAUCAUAAACUGAUAUAACUAUUAAUCAAUCCAUUCCUCCUGCAAAAGCUUACGCGUGCAUAUAAAUUUAAGCAUGUAUGGAAGUAUUUGAAAGAUUUGUGCCCUAAUGCAGAACCAUGCACUGUACUUCCCAAUGACUAUCACACUCUGAAAAAGAGAUACAGGGGUAUUUCUUUAGUGUGUGACAUAUGCCAGACUAUACAUCAUUUCUCGAUGUUCCAUCAGAUCAGGUGACUGUAAAAAUAUACUUUCUGUAGCAAGAAAGUAAGAAGAUGGUGGAGAAGAGAAACAAAAAAAAAAUCUUAUAAGAAAAUGGAAUCUGAGAUUAUUUAUAUUAAUGUUGUUAAGGAAAGGGUUUCUACGUACUUAUCAACACACACAACGUGUCAGUCCUUCAGCAUUUAAUAAAAAUACUCUUCAUCCAUUCAAAUGCAAACGUUAUCCAAAAUAAUUGCAUUUUUCAAUCUGAUAAUCUAGCUUCUAAAUUUAGAUCUAGGUUCAAGAGAAUCUCAAGCACCACACUUGAGAUUCAACAUAAAUUUCUACUUCAUACUACUGCAAAUAUUGCAUCCUGCUGAGUUUUUAUGAGAGAGCAGAAACAUUUUACCUAUUUUCUCACAGAAAAACACAAUGUGAUUAUCUAAUAGUGCAAUGAAAAAAAUUUUUUUUUUAAUGUUGAAGCACUGGAGAUGUUCCUUUCCAACACUGUACAUUCAGGAAGAAUUUUCAGUCUCAGUAAUUAUUUUACAAAGCAACUGUUAAAUUUUCUAUGUGAAUUACAGCCCACUUCUCAAACACUAAACACCUUUUAAACAGCGAUGUUCAUUGCCUAAGUUACAGCAUUAAAAUACUGUGACUUAUCUCAAAACCAAAACUGAAAAAAAAAAGAAUUCUGUAUUGUAUCAUAGUGCAUAUGUCCAAUGUGCCUUAAAGCCUAUGCAUCUUUCAACAGGUCUGUAGAUUUUACAGUUGAAAAUAUUUAACAAACAGAAGAUGCAAUAAACUGAUGAAGCCUAUUGUUUUCUGAAGAUCAUAUUUAUAAAAGCUCUGCCUGAAGUCUACAGUGAUUUCAGUUGCCAAACGUGCUAUCCUCCAUACUCUGAGGUUUUUCUGAAAGAGCUCAAGUAGAGCAAAGGACUCAUCUUUUUCAAGAGUCAAUUGCAAGCAGGUAUUGCAUACUCAGGCCCAAGUUUUAUAAACAACUACACAUCUACAGUCUACAUUAAUUUUUAUACAUUUAUUUUUAGAUAAAUUUUAUACAAUUUUUAUACAAAGAAAGUGUUUUUUCGCUACCGUCUUACACUGUUAAGUGGUGAUCAAAGUAUUACUGCAUUAGGAAAUUUACUCCUGAAGCAGUAGCUACUUAUUUUCAUCUUUCUUUUUUUAAUUAAAAUAUAACAGACAAAUUCACAAUGAAAUGAUAGAAUUUAAAAACAAGUGUUCUUGUCAGAAGAGAAGAAAAAAAAGAGGGUCUUUCCCCCUCCUAAGAAAACAAAGGAUUCCUAAAAGUCUUGCACUGAUUUAUUUUUCCAAUUUUAAAUACCUUAGGAGUAGCGGAACUGCUACUGGCAUGGUAGUAUUUCUAACAGUCAAUAAAUCUAAAAUAUUAUGUGUGAAUAUUGGAAUGAAGCCAUUAAGAAGAUUACAGCAUGCAACACAGCAGAGGGUCCACAUGAAAAAAGGACUGGUAAUUCAGGACAACUGUGACCACUGACCUCUGCACAGUCAAGACCACUGGUCAGUCUGACAGAAUAAUAGAGUUCACAUGCAUAGAAAGUCAUCCAGCCUGUAACUAUAAUUUAAAUACUUAAAAGAAUGAUUUAAAAAUGCCUUCAAAUCUCAGUUAAUUUAUUAUGCAGCUUAUUAGACAAUGUCAUAUAGCAAUAUUUCUUAAUCUUGAAAUUAUCUUAAAAAUAUUCAGAAUGGGAGCAUUUUAUAGACACUUUACAAAGGUAAACUAUUAAAUACCUAUGUCACAAGGACACCUCCAGGCUCAGUGAUCAAGAAAAUAAAUACCCAGUUUUCAUCAGAGACAAGAAACAGUUUUAGAAAAAUCUUUGAGAAUAUUAUGUUCCUUUUGUUAGGCUGUUAAUCUAUCUGGAAUCAAUUUUUCAAAGGCAUGGGUAGACUAGAGCUUCUUUUAUAUUUCCAGUUCUUCAUCCUAUUUUAACACCCUUCAGAGGUACUCCUGCUUAUCAUUUUUUUCAUCAGAAGUUUUACCACCUUCGUACAUAAGCUUAAGAGUCUUAUUUAUAUAGGCCAAAAUAUUUCACGUAUGUAAGCAUCUGACCAUCUGACAUUUGCUCUGAUGUUUCAAGUCCAACAUGCCAUUUUGGCUCUACAGUCCUACCUCUUAAAAUUUUAACCCAGAUGUUAGCAGUUGCACUGUCCCUGAUGAAUACAGAAGGAUAAGCAUUCUGCUAUUUUUUGUGCCAAAGCCUGGACUCUGCCUUUUGUUUACAGAUUUUCUAGGAAUAAUUUGUUUUCCAUUAAUUUUUAAUUAAAUUGUUUUAUAUAUUAAAGUAUAGAAGGAGAUUAAAUUAUUCAGAAGCUUCAUUAUAAAAUCCUAAAAUAACCUCUGUGAGUAUAUUUUGCACAAAACACAGCGCUGUUGUUUCAUUAUUGUUUUUUUUUUCCAAUUUUCUUCAGUGAAGAAUAGACUUCAGUGAAUUCUACUGUAUAGUGUGCACAUUAGAUAAAAUUCACUAACAAUAGUCACAUAUAUAUAGAGAGAUAAUAUACUCCUAAAUAUAUAUAUUAUAUAAUAUUAUUAUAUGUGAUAUUAGAUUAAUAAUAUUAUAUUAUUAUAUGUAUAUAAUAUAUUAUAUAUGUAAUAAUAUACUCCUAAAGAGAUAUAAAGAUAUAUAUAUAGGGAUAAUAUACUCCUAAAAAGUAUGAAGAACUGUAAAUGCUACUUCUUUUCAUGCUAGCAUAUUCAUUUAGAGACCACUUUGAUAUCCAUCUGUAAAAUAUGAGAGCUUACAUUCAUUGCAGAUUCAUUUCCACUGGUCCAGAAGACCUCCAGCUACUCUAGUAUGUGACCAAGGAUGAUGCCUAAUUCUCAGUUCUACAUCCAGCUAUUAUUUGACAAGAGGCAUGUACCUCCAUGACAUUAUAACCUCAACCUUUUACAAAUACAUGGUCAAGUAAAAUUACCAACAGAAUAGGAAAAGAUUCAUUUUUUUUUUAACUUGUUAUACUCAUAAAAUACAGUAUAUUCAAAAUUACAGUGCAUCUGUGUGUAUAUACUUUUUCAUACACCAGCAUAAAAUUGCAUAAUAUUAGAAUGCUUUUUAUAUAAUCAGUUUCUUAUACGUUACCGAACAGCAGCUGAUACUGAAUGAAGAGAAAGACUGACCAGACGAGCUACAAAAAGUCUAGGUUUAAAUCCUAUUAUAAUCAAAGGGAACUUACAUUAAUAUAAUCAUCAAGAGUUUGAUUUCUGUUAUUUCAAAUACAUACAAAUUAUCUGCAAAAACAAACUAUGUAGUGACAAAAAUAGUAUGUCACAUCAGUGCCUUUCUUUGAUUAUGACAGUUUGUUUUUAUGAUUUACAAUUUCAGAAAAAUGUAGCUCUUUGAUUUCAAAUUUUGAUAUAAAAUUCUUUGUGCUGACAACAGUUUGUGCAUCUAUAAGUAAAUAAUCAAAACAGUGAUUUCAAAAUAAAAUUUUUUCAGAGCUCUGUUGGGAAAAGCAAGGUAAGUGAAUUUUGUGACUAUAUAAAAUGAUAUACAGAACAUGUUCCCCUAUAGGCACUAGGAAAAAAAGGAGGGGGAGACCCUCUGCAAGAUCAAAGUCCAGAAAGAACUGGCACUUAAUUUAUCAUCCUUUACAGACAAAAGACAGUUUUCGUCAUUUCAAAAGGAUCAGAUGUCUUUUAUGACAAACUGGGUUUGCAGUUUAAUUUACAAAUAGAAUUCUAAGUAAGCAGUCUUUGCUCUGCCAAAGCAAAUGACAAACAGUAUAGGUUUUCAUUUGUGCAGCCCUCAGCAGGAUAGAAGAGAUUAAAAUAAAACUGAAAUAAUUUAGAGAAAACAAAUAAAUGUUUCAGAAAGUUGAAGAAGAUCAAAGCCUGAAUUUUCUGACCCCAACUGUACAAGCAUUUCUUAUUAUAUUGACCAGUGCCAUCAGAUCAUUAAUUAAAAGGAAAACGCUGGCAGGUGGCAGGGAAGAAGAAGCCGAUAAUUGGCCCCCUUCUUCUUUUUGCCUUCAAAAACUCUCUCGUUCUUUUGCAAGACAUGCCACUAGGCAGACAGAAAUGCCUACUUUGUAAUAUAAUGAUUAAGAUGAGAUGAAGAGACUCUUGCGUUUAGAGCAGCUAUGCCUAAUGAAUGCAGCUAGCUUUAUAAUUAUGAUCCUACUUUUACAAUAAGGAAUAUGAUGUACCAUUCAACAUCUCCUCAACUGUCAGAAAUGUAAAAUAUCAAAUAUAAGGGACUACAUUUGCUGCUUUUUACCCCCUUCUUUCUUUUACAGCAGUUAGCAAAACCAGGCAAAAUAGCAUCUAUAUAAAAGAGAAACCCCAAGAAAACAUCUAUAAGACUUACCACUUCACCGGGUAGGUUGUUCAGGUCAUUAAAAGGGUUUUCUAGAUGGUUUGUGUCAACAUUUAGCAAAACCACAUCUUCCAGUGAUCUAUUUUUCACUCUCUGCAAAGUGAAAAAAAUAGUGAAAAACAUUUCACUAUGGCAUCCUCCUUGAAGUGCCUUUUUUUUUUUUUUUUUUUUUUACUAUAAUGGCUGGAUUAUAAAUUAUGAUUUUUUGAAGAAUAAUACUGGCAAAGACAAGGUUGAGCUUUUACAUGUAGGAUCUAUGAAUUAGACACAGGAGUCAAAGAUUAUUAAAAUACUUUCUUCUCAUCGAACACUAUGGUUAUAUUAAAAGCCUCUGAAAUACAAGAGUAUUCAAUAAAAUAAUUCCUGAAAACAGAGAAUUAUUAAAACAGUUAAGCACAAUAUUAUAUUUAAUACAUACCUAUGUGUAUAUAUAUACGCACACACCUUUUAAAAACAUUUCAUUCUUUCAUAUUUGUGAAAAUUAGAUAGGAUAUUGAUCAUAUAACCAGAAGAAAAUAGAGCAAAGUAAUUAUUUUCAGAUUUAUUUAAGUCCCAGACAUGUGAUCAUGUGAUGUCUACUAGUAUUUCAAAAGAUACUCUUUUGUCACUGGACUUGAUUAGCAGGAUUAGCAAGAACUGAUUAGCAAGAAUUAAACAAUUCAUUCCUUUGAGAGAACAAUUAAAAAAAAAAGCAGAUAAAACUCUUUAUGUAUGGUCCUACAAUAAUAAGCAAUAUUAUGGGUCAGAAAAUAGUAUCAGGAUUUCAUCUACAGAGGGUAUUUGUUUUGUUGUUUUCUGACUAAAUAAAGAUCCUAGUCAAGAUAUUACAAUCAAUGCACAUAGAUUAUAGGAGCUUGGUCAAUGAGAAAAGAAUAUUAUGCCUACAGCUAGGAAGCAUAAUAGUGCCAGAGGUUCAGAUAGGAGGAAAAAACCUCAUUGGUUUUACAAAUGUGAAUUCUUUCUCAGAAAUUGCGCUAGUAGAAGAAUAAAGCAGUUCCUGGAUCAAUUACCUACACUGCAUGAUAAUCAUACUACACAUGUAGACAGACCUACACGUGUCAUCAAACAGUAAUAGAAAGAGACAAAACAAUUCUUUUUUCUAUGACUCAACUACUACUUAUCACUCAGGUGAGAUCCAUUGUUUUGUGGUAGGUUUAAGUUUGAAAAGGCUUUUGGUUUUUGACAAAACUUUGUUUUCUAAAAUAAAAGUUAUAAAUAUUAUUGGAUGAAUGAUGGACUUUGAUUUACAGUGCAAGAGGAAUGCAAGUCAGCUGGGAAAUCAGAAGAAUGCCGACCUUCACUUGAUGACCCAGAAAUAAAUUUAAUUACUAUUACUGAAAGACCUGAAAUGCUGUUGAACCUCUAAUAAAAGCAUUAAAAAAAAAUGGUAUUGAGAUAGUUAAUACGCACAGAAACAAAUCAUGAUGUUGAGCUUGUAUUUUUCAAGAUAGCAUUUCAAAAGUAUCACUCCGAAUAGGGACUACUUCACUUUUUAAAAUAUUGAAGCUUAACAUCUGUAAUUCUGAGCUAAUAUUCAGGGAUUUUUUUUCCUGAAGCAUUUCCACUGAAAUUAUUAUUUAUGGUACACACAUCUCAUGCUUACCACUACUCAGAAGCGUAUAGGAAACUUACCUCUAUUAAGCUUAAGUGGACGCCAAUUAGAUAAGGCAUGGGUGCACUGAAGAAAAAAGAAAAUCAAAUUAUCUUUUAGCUACAGCAGCAUUUGUAGAUUAAAACAUUUAACAAGUUAGCUUAUUUGGUCUCCAGGUAAUAUUCACUGUGAAAGCUUGUAUAUAAAUGUAUACAGGUGCUCUUGAAAUUUUACUAGCUGAGAGAAACUAUUACAAUGUAGUAAAGAUGACCACAAAAUAAAGGACGCUCUUCCUACCUGAGGAAUUACAAAUGAAAUGAUGUGUAAGGUUUCCUAACUUCCUGCAUAUCUAACUUCAAUGACUAUUAUAUGGCUACUAUAGUGAAAGCAACCCUGUCCUAGUGAGAAAAUUGUCCACCUCCAGAAGUACAAAAAUUUAAAAUGCCAUUCUGGAGAACGUGGUGUUGGUGAGCUUCUACGGUGCUCAUAUAAUAUCUCAUGUAGUAUCUUAUAUGACCCAAGAGAGAAAGCUUAUAAUUUCCAAUUUGCAUGAGACAAGGAAUCAUUCCGCACAGAGCCUCUGCAAUGAGACCUCCUGCAGUAUGCAAGCAAGAAAGUAAACUAGACAGAUCAAUUUUUAUUGUUUUCUAUAAUGUUCUCUUUCUUCCAUUAAUCUGAUAAAGAAUAUAUUCACUAUCCAGUGUUAAAGGGAAAAAAAAAACAUCACUGCUUUUUAUGCUGUGAAAUUACUAAAAAUAUUAUCUCCAGAGAAGUAAGCAGUAGACCAGUUCAAGGAACUCUGUGGGAAAUGAAAUACUAAUUGAGCAGAGAGAAAAAAACAAAAUUAAGGACUGAAAAAUAAACUGAAGGCAAGAUCUCUGAUAUGAACAGUGCAUCCAUCUGAUCACCUAGCUGAGCUUAACAAGGCACUGACUGCUCAGGGACCCACUUCAUGAGGCCCAGGAGGGGCUUCCCUGGGCCACUUCCCAUGGCCUCAGCAGCGCAGGCCCAGCUCUGCGAGAGGAACAAACACAGCUGGCUACGGCCACAGAUAUUGUAGAAAAAUCUGGGCAUGCUAUGGGUUAUCCAAUUGUUCUCAUCAGGAAUGUCCCACAAGAGAAUACUGACUGAAACAAAUGAAAACAAACAAAAAAAAUCUAAGAAUUAACUGUCAGAUCAAAAGUUUUCAACAUGUCCACGCAAUCAAAAAUCAAAGGUUUGGAGAGACCACAAAUCUGUACGGCUUAAGGCUUUCAGGCAGUAGGGUGCACACUUCCAAAUAGGGAAAUGAAGACUUGCACAUCUUCACAGUGUCUUAUUCUCAGCCCAAUACUGAAAAUCUGUGACCACUUCAGCCAGGCUAGACUAGGCUUAUGCGUUCCAGACUAAACACAAAUUACAUGAAAACACAAAUGGGUUUCUCUCCAAGAAUGUGCCUGCAAAGCAGAUGCACAUACAUUCAUAUGCAGUGAGGAAUUAGACAGCUUGAAGACACUAUAAUUUCAAGAGUGUCUGACACUAGGCAAUGUAUUUGAGUGAACAAAUGUGAACGACUGUGGCUGGUGCUUAAGUGCAGAUUCUUCUGCUGAAUGCUGAGCAAAACAGAUCCUCCUCAGGUUCAUCACAUCAGAGCACCUCAGUGUUACAAGUGACACAAAGCAGAGAAACUACAAUGAAAAGAAGUUCUGUAUCACCUAUGUAUUUCACGCACACUUUUCCAGCAGCUUCACCAGGCCUGUUCUGACUUGUAGUAGCUGAUGAUUUGCUCCAUUAAUAAACCUGUCAUUAGAAAGGGUAGCGUGCAGAACAAAGCAACAGCUACAUCAUUCCAAUUUUAAAGUGAACAGAACAAAGCUAAUUAGAUAAACAUCUUGAAAAUGCAUGAAAUAAAAAAAAGCAGGAACGGGAAGUCAACUUGAUUUUCAGCAAUGAAUUAGUUUUAUCACUGCUGGACUCUGAAGCCCUCACACCAGAUUUUUGUAACAUGUACAUAAAGUUGCUUAUUGUGGUGCUACUGGGAGCUGCUAAACAGUUUUUCACUUGCUUAUGCAUGUUAUUACAUAAAAUGUUACUUAUCUACAGCAUCAUUCCCUAAAAUAAUUACUAUGUUAUGCAAAACAUGCAUGUUAAUUGGAAAAUAAUUGUCCUAUUCUCAUGAAAACAGACUUGCAUAUAUCCCAAUUCAGGAGAGAUCAAAUCUCAUAAGGAGACAUGCUACAAUCCUAACUUGAAUUUUCUAAUUGCAUUAUAUUCUUAACACAGCAUCAGUAGAACAGAUGCUUUAUCAUCUACAGACAAAACUGUCAUACACUCUUAUAACAGCAACUCAGUUUGCCAAGAAAUUACACAGAAAUUCAAUAAAAUGUGCUUUACCCUUUACAAAAAUUGAUUUUAUUCAAAUAUAAUUACUAAGAGAAUGAUCAAACUCAAUUCCUCUGAAAGCUUUCUUGAAAGCCAGUCCCUAAGUGCAUGAAUGCAACCAUAUCAUACAAUGGCUUGGGUUGGAAGGGAUCUCAGGGAUGAUCAGGUUCCAGUGCCCCUGCCAGAGGCAGAGUUGCCAGCCACUGGAUCAAGUACUAGAGCAGGCUGCCCAAGGCCCCAUCCAAUCUGGCCUUAAACACCUCCAGUGAUGGGGUUCCCAAAACCUGGGCAGCCUGUUCCAGCACCUCACCACACUCUCAGUGAAAAACUUCCCCAGCAUCUCAUCGUCAUCUUCUCUCACAUAGUUUAAAACCAUUCCCCCUUGUCCUAUCACUAUCUAACCUUAUUAAAAGUUGGUUUCCCCCCUGCUUAUAAUCUCCCUUUAAACACCGGAAGGCCAUAAAUGAGGUCUCCGUGCAGUCUUCUCGUCUCCAGACUGAACAACCCCAGCUCCUUCACCCUGUCUCCAUAGGAGAGGUGCUCCAGCCCACUGAGCAUCUUUGCGGCCCUCCUCUGCAGUCCCUCCAAAAGCUCCAUCUCUUUCCUGUGUUGGAGGCCUCAGAAUAUCUUUUCUUCUGUACACUUCACAUCACCUAAUGAAGGCUGAGCUUGGAAGCACACACAAAGGGAGUGCCCCACACAGAAGACUCCAAGCUUAUGGAAGAAGACAAGACUGUCCUAAUGUUUUAUAUCACAACAAAAUUCCUGUCUGAGGUUAACUUCAUUAUUACUGCUCUUUAUUAGACGUGUACUUUUACAGUAAAAAAAAAUGAAGAGCUAAAAAUAAAAUGUAAAUCCUGCCCAUGUAGCAAGUGCUAAAAUAUUAUGGAUUUUACAGGAAAAAAAGUCCCUGUUGGUGAAACAGAUCAGCAGUUAAAGCUUUCACACCCAGGCUGACUUAGACAGUUACUCCUGUAAAUAAGAAUUACGCUGUAAUUUUGUAUGUAUAUUUUUACACUAAAAAGGAGAAAAAAAUCAUUACAAGAGCACCGCAGCAGAAAUCAGGGACAAUUACAAUUUGUGCAGCAUAGUUUGCUCAGCACUCAGAUUAAUAUAACACGAUUAAAUAUGGAAAAGAAGAGGGUCUGAAAGCUCCUAAGGGAUAUCAUUAGGGCAAAUUGCCAAAGAAUGAAACAUGAGCCAGUCAGGAGAGCUGGAAGCUGCAGCAGUACCAAGGGACCUAAGCGCUCGACAGUUGGAGCUUCAGCACGGUGUGAGCUGCGGGUUAAGGCGACGGGAGGCUGCUUGCUGACACGCGGGAUGUCACCAUUGACCGGCGCGCGGCCCACACCUGACAGCUCUGCUACAGGAAGCCAAGGAUAUCAUCAUCCCCUACUUAAACUGGUCGGUUCGUAUUAACAUUUUGUUUCCUAGCUUCACGGCAAACAGCUGCAAUUACUCUCAGUUCAGACUUAAAAAAAAAAAAAAAAAAGGCUGCUUUAAUAAUUAGAGUUUGGUGACUAAGAAUUAAUUGAUUUGAGGGAUGAAAUUAAUGAACACUUAACCCUCUUCUACAUGGGGGGAUUUAUGAGCUUUAUUUUCAUAUUCUUAUCCUCCUAUGUUUAGCUACUACAACUAAUAGUGCAAACCAAGCUCCAUAUUAUGGGCUUUGGUCCUUUAAUAAUUCCAUAUUCACUCUGAGUAAUCGUAAUGCCCACAUAAUAGUCAUUACAAAAAAUAAAUUUCAGAUCAUAACUACCUAUACAAAAAUCAGCAUGUAAUUCAAUCACAGACUGAAAUAGAGCUGAGCAUACAUUUACAUGGGCAAUCCCCCAACGUAUACAUCUUCCUCCUCCUCUUAAUAAGUAUUCUUAAAUUAUGAAUUAACUUGAUGAUACAAUUUGAAUAAAGAAAUAUCCUUCUCUCUUAA